rnacentral:tRNA from 1 species
GCCGGGGUGCCCGAGCGGACCAAGGGGCUGGCCUGGAGUUUGCUGGUCAGCCAGUGGGGGUCAACCCUGCGCGGGUUCAAAUCCCGCCCCCGGCG